CUGCAACUCCAAAAAUGAAGACAGAACAAAACAAAAUCCCUAAACUAUCUUAGCUAUCAUUAUUAAAACAGAGUGCAGGAAACAAGGCUCAAGAAAUGUUGCAUGGCUUGGUCUUUCACGUGACUCAGAAGAGGCAAAAGUGAAAUCUGAAAUCCUGCUGACUCUAAAGCCUGUGCCCUCAACCAUUAGGUUUUGUAGCGUUUCCACUCCUUCUGUUUUGCUUCCCUGUCUGGGCUCCUUCCUAGUUCAAGAUGGACAGUCAUCCAUAAGUUCCAUGUCACAUCUGUCAUCCUGCGUUCAAAG
ensembl:lncRNA